AACGCACAUUGCGCCCUGUGGUAUUCCGCAGGGCAUGCCUGUUCGAGCGUCAUUUCAACCCUCAAGCUCUGCUUGGUGUUGGGCCCCGCCCGCUCGCGGCCGGCCCUAAAGACAGUGGCGGCGGCGUCUGGCUCCAAGCGUAGUACAGCUCUCGCUCUGGGGCUAGGCGGUAGCCUGCCAGAACCCCCCUUCUAUGGUUGACCUCGGAUCAGGUAGGGAUACCCGCUGAACUUAA
rnacentral:misc_RNA from 3 species